rnacentral:rRNA from 1 species
ACGGAAGGCAGCAGUGGGGAAUAUUGCACAAUGGGGGAAACCCUGAUGCAGCGACGCCGCGUGAGUGAAGAAGUAUUUCGGUAUGUAAAGCUCUAUCAGCAGGGAAGAAAAAGGACGGUACCUGACUAAGAAGCCCCGGCUAACUACGUGCCAGCAGCCGCGGUAAUACGUAGGGGGCAAGCGUUAUCCGGAUUUACUGGGUGUAAAGGGAGCGUAGACGGCUGUGUAAGUCUGAAGUGAAAGCCCGCGGCUCAACUGCGGAACUGCUUUGGAAACUAUACGGCUUGAGUAUCGGAGGGGUAAGCGGAAUUCCUAGUGUAGCGGUGAAAUGCGUAGAUAUUAGGAGGAACACCGGUGCGAAGGCGGCUUACUGGACGAUAACUGACGUUGAGGCUCGAAGGCGUGGGGAGCAAACAGGAUUAGAUACCCUGGUA